rnacentral:rRNA from 1 species
GAGCAAUUUGCUUUGAGAUGAGCCCGCGAGGGAUUAGCUAGUUGGUGAGGUAAUGGCUCACCAAGGCAACGAUCUCUAACUGGUCUGAGAGGAUGAUCAGUCACACUGGAACUGAGAUACGGUCCAGACUCCUACGGGAGGCAGCAGUAGGGAAUAUUGCGCAAUGGGGGAAACCCUGACGCAGCGACGCCGCGUGAGCGAUGAAGGACUUCGGUUUGUAAAGCUCUGUCGCAGGGGAAUAAUACAUUG